rnacentral:rRNA from 1 species
AAUUUUGGACAAUGGGGGAAACCCUGAUCCAGCCAUUCCGCGUGAGUGAUGAAUGCUUUCGGGUCGUAAAACUCUGUUGUCAGGGAAGAACAUCCGGGAUCACCUCCCGGUCUGGCGGUACCUGAUCAGAAAGCCCCGGCUACCUACGUGCCAGCAGCCGCGGUAAUACGUAGGGGGCAAGCGUUGUCCGGAAUUAUUGGGCGUAAAGCGCGCGCAGGCGGUUGAUUAAAUCUGGUGUGAAAGCCCGCAGCUCAACAGCGGAGGACCACUGGAAACUGGGAAGCUUGAGUGUAGGAGAGGAGAGCGGAAUUCCACGUGUAGCGGUGAAAUGCGUAGAUAUGUGGAGGAACACCCGUGGCGAAAGCGGCUCUCUGGCCUAUAACUGACGCUGAGGCGCGAAAGCGUGGGGAGCGAACAGG